rnacentral:rRNA from 1 species
UACGUAGGGGGCAAGCGUUGUCCGGAUUUAUUGGGCGUAAAGAGCGUGUAGGCGGCCAGGUAGGUCCGUUGUGAAAACUCGAGGCUCAACCUCGAGACGUCGAUGGAAACCAUCUGGCUAGAGUCCGGAAGAGGCGAGUGGAAUUCCUGGUGUAGCGGUGGAAUGCGCAGAUAUCAGGAGGAACACCAAUAGCGAAGGCAGCUCGCUGGGACGGUACUGACGCUAAGGCGCGAAAGCGUGGGGAGCGAACAGG